UAGGGAAUAUUGGGCAAUGGCCGAGAGGCUGACCCAGCCAUGCCGCGUGCAGGAAGAAGGCUUUCUGAGUCGUAAACUGCUUUUGAUAGGGAAGAAUAAGCAGCUCGUGAGCUGUGAUGACGGUACCUACAGAAUAAGCACCGGCUAACUCCGUGCCAGCAGCCGCGGUAAUACGGAGGGUGCGAGCGUUGUCCGGAUUUAUUGGGGUUUAAAGGGGUGCGUAGGCGGCUCUUUAAGUCCGGGGUGAAAGCCCGUUGCUCAACAACGGAACUGCCCUGGAUACUGGAGAGCUUGAGUACAGACGAGGUUGGCGGAAUGGACCGAGUAGCGGUGAAAUGCAUAGAUACGGUCCAGAACCCCGAUUGCGAAGGCAGCUGACUAGGCUGUUACUGACGCUGAGGCACGACAGCGUGGGGAGCGAACAGGAUUAGAUACCCUGGUAGUCCACGCCGUAAACGAUGGAUACUCGCUGCGGGCUAAAGAUUGUCCGUGGCUUAGGGAAACCGA
rnacentral:rRNA from 1 species